rnacentral:misc_RNA from 1 species
GUUAAAAAUAAUACAAUUUUAAAUGAUUAAAAAAAUAAUUAGUAAUUAUUAAAGUUUAUAUUUCGUAGAAACUCUCAUUUAAUAAGUCAAUUAGUCAAACAUCUCUUACCUAACCGUCUAAUGGUUAAAAAUAAAAAAGAAAAUCAAGAGUACCAUUUUCUUCUCCUCUCGUGUUUUCUUCUUCUUCUCUUCCUAGUUCCUAUGCUUAGAUGCUACUCUUUCUCAUUGUUUCUUUCAUUCUUGUUCUACUUCUUUGAAACCCCUCUUUUUGUGACCCAGAUUACAUCUCUUAGUGAUUUGGAUGCAAACAUUCUACGAAUUGGAAUGUGUGACCUAGAUCGUGGAACCCAUGGGGGUGAGCUAAUCUAGUAACUAUGUUCAUAAUUAUUGUUUAGUCCCCACUUCUUUAAUUUGAAACAGUUUAGAUACUGCUUGGGAUUAAGGCUUAGCUGUUGU